CGGUAUUUAAGGCUGCCUGGCUGUGCCGGUAUUGCAGCAAUACAAUUGCAGGUAUUUUUCUUAGUAUAAACUGAGAUUACUGUGCAAUACCAGCACUGGCCAGUAGGGGUCACUGUGUGUGGAGAGAGGCAGGGAUAGGAAGUUACAGCAUAUACCUGCCUCUCUCUAUUACUCACUGAUCUGUAGGGGAGCAGCUACACAGCACAGAGAGUCCAGACAGCAGCUCUACAGCUCAGGUAAGUGAGGGAUGGGGGGAAAGGCAGCAUGGAGACAUGGGGACACUGAGACACUAGGGGACACAUAGGGACACAGACACUAGGGGACACUGGG